UGAGUGUUCAAAAUUAGGCCACCUUCUUCCAGUAGUGAUAGUAGUAGUUGGAGUUUGUUGUUUUUAUGUGUAUGUAGAAUUGGGUGGUGUGCGUGUGUUUAUCUUUACUUUUUAGUUUGCUAAUUUGUCUAUGCACAUGUAUAAUUGCUGUAGAAUUGGAUGAUUGUAGUUGAUGUUUGUUAAGGCGUUGUUGGUUUACUCCAGAGAAUAAUUUUGUAGUAGCGACGAUUUGGGGUUCAUUUACCUGUUGUGUUCUAUGAUUCUGUAUGUGUUUCUGUUAUGUAGCUUUCCCUUUAACCGGAAAAACCAUAAUUCUGUAUUUUUGGAAUUUUUAUAUACUUUUUUCUUUGG
rnacentral:misc_RNA from 1 species